rnacentral:ncRNA from 1 species
CAUCCUUAGGGAGGCACUGAUCUGAGCAUCUUCAAUCUGGUCGCUUGGCGCACGGAACCGUCCGUAGCGCGGGAUGCGCAGGGAGCCGAGUAGCGAAACCGACCGAAAGGAAG